GCCGAAGUGGCGGAAUGGCAGACGCGUUGGACUCAAAAUCCAGUGAGGUCACACUCGUGAGGGUUCGAGUCCCUCCUUCGGUACCA
rnacentral:tRNA from 1 species